UGCAUAUUCUCUAUAUAUUUUUAGAGUAAAAAAGAAAUAGUGCAUUUAACACUAAUUUAUUCAUUAAAUGACAUUUUUAUCACAUCUAGUAUAAAGAAGUAGAUAACAAGCUCUUAAGAUUAUCCAGGUUCUAUGGUACACAAAUACUCUGAUGAGCUAGCUAUCUAGCUAGCUUCAAGAUUAGUAUUGCAGUAACAUCUAAGCAAAUUAUUACACAUAUAUCUAUAUUUAUACCGCCGUAAGCAACUAAAGUACUGAACCAAGAAGCCAUUAGCUAGAAGUUUAAGCGGAGGGCAAAUGUAGAAGCUAAAUGAAGUAGCUCAGCUCCCCAUUUUUAUUCACUUGAUACUAAGAUUAUUUUUAAUCAUUCUUAGCAGCAGAUUAUGGGCUAUUAAUAUAACCGUGCCCCCAAGGAUUGUCCUCAUUUUGGGGUUGAUAGAUCUGCUCCCUUGCAGCUUUCUCAUCUGUAACAUCGGCAACAAGAAAAACAAAAAAUAUCAAAAAAAAAAUCCAACAAAUAAGAUAGGAGUAAUAAAAUUUUAGGCCAAAUGAACCAAAGAAGAAGGUAGCUAGGGUAGGCCAGUAUGCUUACAAGUCGUGGCAGUCCUUUCGAUGUUCCUUGACGCCAUGGCUGAGGCUAGAAGGAGAAUACUAACGAUCAAGAGAAGCUGGAAGAGUAAUAAAAGCUUCUUGGGAGCCAUUUGAUUUCUUGGUAGAGCAGGA
rnacentral:lncRNA from 1 species